CAAUUUCAGUAGGUGAACCUGUGGGAAGGAUCAUAACCGAGUGAGGGCCCCUCUGGGUCCAACCUCCCACCCGUGUUUAUCGUACUUUGUUGCUUAGGCGGGCCCGCCGUCAUGGCCGCCGGGGGGCACCCGCCCCCGGGCCCGCGCCCGCCGAAGACACCAUUGAACUCUGUCUGAAGAUUGCAGUGUGAGUGAUUAGCUAAAUCAGUUAACACUUUCAACAAGGGAUCUCUUGGUUCCGGCAUCGAUGAAGAACGCAGCGAAAUGCGAUAAGUAAUGUGAAUUGCAGAAUUCAGUGAAUCAUCGAGUCUUUGAACGCACAUUGCGCCCCAUGGUAUUCCGGGGGGCAUGCCUGUCCUAGCGUCAUUGCUGCCCUCAAGCACGGCUUGUGUGUUGGGCCCUCGCCCCCCAGUCCCGGGGGGCGGUCCCGAAAGGCAGAGGCGGCACCGCGUCCGGUCCUCGAGCGUAUGGGGCUUCGUCACCCGCUCUGUAGGCCCGGCCGGCGCCCGCCGGCGACCCCCAUCAAUCUUUCCAGGUUGACCUCGGAUCAGGUAGGGAUACCCGCUGAACUUAGCAUA
rnacentral:sRNA from 1 species